GAUGAACGCUGGCGGCGUGCCUAAUACAUGCAAGUCGAGCGAACGGACGAGAAGCUUGCUUUUCUGAUGUUAGCGGCGGACGGGUGAGUAACACGUGGAUAACCUACCUAUAAGACUGGGAUAACUUCGGGAAACCGGAGCUAAUACCGGAUAAUAUUUUGAACCGCAUGGUUCAAAAGUGAAAGACGGUCUUGCUGUCACUUAUAGAUGGAUACGCGCUGCAUUAGCUAGUUGGUAAGGUAACGGCUUACCAAGGCAACGAUGCAUAAGCGACCUGAGAGGGUGAUCGGCCACACUGGAACUGAGACACGGUCCAGACUCCUACGGGAGGCAGCAGUAGGGAAUCUUCCGCAAUGGGCGAAAGCCUGACGGAGCAACGCCGCGUGAGUGAUGAAGGUCUUCGGAUCGUAAAACUCUGUUAUUAGGGAAGAACAUAUGUGUAAGUAACUGUGCACAUCUUGACGGUACCUAAUCAGAAAGCAACGGCUAACUACGUG
rnacentral:rRNA from 1 species